UACGUAGGGUGCAAGCGUUGUCCGGAAUUAUUGGGCGUAAAGAGCUCGUAGGCGGUUUGUCGCGUCGAAUGUGAAAUCCCGGGGCUCAACCCCGGGCCUGCAUUCGAUACGGGCAGACUAGAGUUCGGUAGGGGAGUCUGGAAUUCCUGGUGUAGCGGUGAAAUGCGCAGAUAUCAGGAGGAACACCGGUGGCAAAGGCGGGUCUCUGGGCCGAUACUGACGCUGAGGAGCGAAAGCGUGGGGAGCGAACAGG
rnacentral:rRNA from 1 species